UACGUAGGGGGCAAGCGUUGUCCGGAUUUACUGGGCGUAAAGAGCGUGUAGGCGGCCACGCAGGUCCGUUGUGAAAACUGGAGGCUCAACCUCCAGCUGUCGACGGAAACCGUAUGGCUAGAGUCCGGAAGAGGAGAGUGGAAUUCCUGGUGUAGCGGUGAAAUGCGCAGAUAUCAGGAAGAACACCAAUGGCGAAGGCAGCUCUCUGGGACGGUACUGACGCUGAGACGCGAAAGCAUGGGGAGCGAACAGG
rnacentral:rRNA from 1 species